UAAACUAAACAGAUGACAGAAGAUUUUGAAUAAUAUUAUAGUUGAAUUUUAAGAAAAAUCAGCCCCAAUCCAUUUUUUUCAAGUUACCAACCGUCUUUCGGAGCAAUCUGGAACCGAGGGAACGCCCGUGAGCCCGUCAGAAAUGUGUUAAAAUUCUGCACAGCGACACUUGCACCCAAUGGACUUCAAUUGGUAACCCGACACGAGCAGGGAGGCCUCACCCGGUCCGCCCCUUCGGUCAUAUAACAAAGAUCGCUGCGUUGAUAAACUUGAACGCCCCGGGGGCACGGCCACAUGGACGCACUGCAGCACACAACGGCAAGAAUAAUAAUAAUAAUAACAAUAAUAACAACAACAAUAGAGAAACGCACGUGUUAACAAGGAUGCGAUAAAAAAAAAAUAAAACGUUGUGAGGAAAUAAACGCUAGAAUGACAGGAAA